GGCAUAUGAAAAUCUGGUUUUUUCACCAUUUUGUGAUUGAAAUUCAAAUUCAAUGGAAAAUAGGCUUUUUUUGGGGAAAUUCGGGGACCAAACCGCCUACGGCAGUUUGCUUCACGUAGAUCUCGAAAAAAUACCCGAUUUCAAAAAAAAAUUCGCCCCAAACGGACCACCGAGCGCAAAGUUAUGCCCGUUUCAACUUUGCCCACUUCUUCAUGCUUUUUUUCACGCCACAUACCCAAGCCCGGCCUGUUUCAACUUUUCUCGCCACUUCUCUACAGAUGUGUAAGCUUCUCUACACUCUACCCAUUCCACAUGACUUGGGUAUAGGGUCUCUGACACUCACUCAGGAUUCCUUUCCCACUGAAGAGCCAACUCCUUCCAAACCUUCCUGCAGAUAUAUAACGCAGGUUUGAUUUCAAACUAGCUGAUGUGUAAGCUUCUGUACCACACUCCACCGGCUAUAUCAUUCGCACACAUGGGGAAGAACCUGUCAGUUUCAGCCCCAAUUCGGUUCUUGUUAAUUAUGGCCACGAUUCCAAGUUACAGACAGUUACAUACAGCUACAUACAGUUACUAAAGUCAACGAAAUAAAAGAACUCAAAAGGUAAAACAUUAAAAAAACUAUGGCAGGAUAUCUUUCUCCUUAAACACUGAAUCUGUCAUUGGUGUUGCAGUUACUAAAUUCUUGCCACAGUGGGUACCAUUAUUUCCAACCUGGACACACUCCACCUUUCAUAAUAUCGACUACAACCUUGGAAUCUGAUUCAAUUGAAAUUGGAUACACUAUCAACCCAAAAUCUUCAACCAAUUUCACACCAUCCAGUACCGAGCCCGAUCUCUACUUCCAUAACAAUAGGAACCAGCUAUAACCAUUUCCCCCCACUAAUAUGUACACCUGAGUGCACGAUGUAUUUUUAGGAACAAUUCACAAGUGUAUUUAGACUACACAUAAUAUAUCCACCAUAUCGUAGGUUUUCCAAAAUAAUACAUCCAAAAUAACAAGAUUUUUUUUGGUUAGUUGCAAAUCUAUUGU